GCGAAAAGAACCCCUGUGAGGGGAGUGAAAUAGAUCCUGAAACCGCAUGCAUACAAGCAGUGGGAGCACCUUCGUGGUGUGACUGCGUACCUUUUGUAUAAUGGGUCAGCGACUUAUAUUCAGUAGCGAGGUUAACCGUAUAGGGGAGCCGUAGAGAAAUCGAGUCUUAAUAGGGCGUUUAGUUGCUGGGUAUAGACCCGAAACCAGGCGAUCUAUCCAUGAGCAGGUUGAUGGUUGGGUAACACUAACUGGAGG
rnacentral:rRNA from 1 species